rnacentral:piRNA from 1 species
GAGAUCAAGAUGCCUGAGGAUUCAGUGCCUGU